rnacentral:rRNA from 1 species
UCCUACGGGAGGCAGCAGUAGGGAAUCUUCCACAAUGGACGAAAGUCUGAUGGAGCAACGCCGCGUGAGUGAAGAAGGUUUUCGGAUCGUAAAGCUCUGUUGUUGGUGAAGAAGGAUAGAGGUAGUAACUGGCCUUUAUUUGACGGUAAUCAACCAGAAAGUCACGGCUAACUACGUGCCAGCAGCCGCGGUAAU